CCAUGGUUGGAUUAGAGGCAUGUUGUGUUCGGACAAGUUUUGGAGAGCAUGGAUAUUGUUAUGCUGAUCGAGUCACAAGAGACGGACGGAGGUAAUCGUCCUGAAAUGGAGUGGUCAUUAGUGACUGUGGCGAGCUUCCAAUGGUCUGACAUGGAAUCCCAAUAUAGAAGGCUUUUUGUUCAAAGGAUGCUUGAGCUAUGACCUUUCUGAAGAAUUCUAUGCUAGAGGGUGGUUGAGGCCACUAACAACUCUUAACUAGCGGAUAUGUAUUUGAUUUUGAGGUGAAUGCGAGAAGAGAUAGAAGGGAACAUGUUCUAUAUUAUGCCCUAUCACCAUCAUCAUCGAUCUUAUUUUUCUUACGGGCUUUCUGGAGAGCAGAUUAGACAGGACGGGACGUGAUUAUGACCAAAAAUGGGGAUGGGAUUGGAUCGAAAAUGGUCCCCAAAAAAACCGUUGCCAUCCCGUGAAGAAGCAUCUUGAGAUCAUAUGGAUGAACUUGAACAUGAAGAAGGGAGAUAGGAUCAAACAUAGAGACGCAAAAACUACUGCCAUAACCACUUCGUUCAAGCAGUUGUCAAUCAGAUAAUUCAUAUCCAUU